rnacentral:rRNA from 1 species
AUACGUAGGUGGCAAGCGUUGUCCGGAUUUACUGGGUGUAAAGGGCGUGUAGCCGGGUGCAUAAGUCAGAUGUGAAAUCUGGAGGCUCAACCUCCAAACUGCAUUUGAAACUGUGCAUCUUGAGUAUCGGAGAGGUAAUCGGAAUUCCUUGUGUAGCGGUGAAAUGCGUAGAUAUAAGGAAGAACACCAGUGGCGAAGGCGGAUUACUGGACGACAACUGACGGUGAGGCGCGAAAGCGUGGGGAGC